rnacentral:rRNA from 1 species
UGUGUAGGCGGUUCUUUAAGUUUGGUGUGAAAUCUCCCGGCUCAACCGGGAGGGUGCGCCGAAUACUGAGGGACUCGAGUGCGGGAGAGGAAAGUGGAAUUCCUGGUGUAGCGGUGAAAUGCGUAGAUAUCAGGAGGAACACCGGUGGUGUAGACGGCUUUCUGGACCGUAACUGACGCUGAGACACGAAAGCGUGGGUAGCAAACA